rnacentral:rRNA from 1 species
GAUGAACGCUGGCGGCAGGCCUAACACAUGCAAGUCGAGCGGACGGACGAGGAGCGUUCUCGGAUGCCGUUGCCGGCGGGCGAGUAAGGAAUACGAAGAUACCUGACCUAGGGGACUGACGUAAGGAAAGGGGACCGAAGCCCGCACACGUCCUGAUAUUGAAACGGGGGGAUCUUUAGACAUCGCGGGUUUAGAUGAGACUUGGACGUAUUAGCUAGUUGGUGUGGUAAAGGGCUACCAAGGCGACGAACCGUAGCCGGUCUGAGUGGAUGAUCAGUCACACUGGAACUGAGACACGGUCCAGACUCCUACGGGAGGCAGCAGUGGGGAAUCUUCGACAAUGGGCGAAAGCCUGAACGAGCAAUGCCGCGUGAGUGAUGAAGGUCUUCGGAUUGUAAAACUCUGUUAUUUGGGAAGAAGAACAGUGUGAGUAACUCUGCCCGUCUUGACGGUACCUAAAGAAUAAGCACCGGCUAACUACGUG